AAGUGUUACAGAUCUUUUAGAAUUUGUCUAGCAGGUCUUCUGACUUUGGUCGGAAUCCCCCC
ensembl:snRNA LOC120096765 U7 small nuclear RNA